rnacentral:tRNA from 1 species
GCACCCGUAGCUCAGCUGGAUAGAGCACCAGACUACGAAUCUGGGGGCCGGAGGUUCGAAUCCUUCCGGGUGCA